rnacentral:rRNA from 1 species
UACGUAGGUGGCGAGCGUUGUCCGGAUUUACUGGGCGUAAAGAGCGCGCAGGCGGUCGUACAAGUCGCGUGUGAAAGCCCCUGGCUCAACUGGGGAGGGUCACGCGAUACUGUUCGACUCGAAGGCAGGAGAGGGAAGUGGAAUUCCCGGUGUAGUGGUGAAAUGCGUAGAGAUGUGGAGGAACACCGAUGGCGAAGGCAGCCCCCCUGGGCUAACACUGACGCUCAUGCACGAAAGCGUGGGGAGCAAACAGG